UAAGGACAUUUAAAAAAAUUGAAAUCAAAGAAUUAUAGUCUUGGGAGUAUCAAGAGGAAGUGAGGAGAAAAAUUCUGCUCUCUGAUGUGAUGACUUGUCGCCACAUAAGCAGAACAGUCUCAUCAUACCAGAGAUCCAGAAAUGUAUACCCAAGGAGAACUCAUGUGCCACCCAGCAUUCUUUUUGUGACCCAGGAGCCUCCAUUUUUAUUGAGGGGGUGUUUUUGUCCUAAAAAUCACCUACCUUUGGGCUUAGAGGAAGAUAUCUUUAUUUCGGACAGGAAGUAAACCGAAUACCUACCUCAACUAUUGUCUGGAGUAAGGAUGUGCUCUCCUUUUUUUUGUUGCUGACUGUAUUUAGUAAGGAGGGGGAUGAUAAUGUUUUCUUGAUUGGUCAAAGCUCUCUCUGCCACCUUUUGAAUUUGUCUAUGCUUAGGACCCAGUACUACCCUUGGCUGAGCCAUGUAGCUUGAUAUUCCUCAUCAAUAAAAU
rnacentral:lncRNA from 11 species